rnacentral:rRNA from 1 species
UGGGGAAUCUUGCGCAAUGGGCGAAAGCCUGACGCAGCGACGCCGCGUGGGGGAAGAAGGCCCUCGGGUUGUAAACCCCUUUCGGCAGGGACGAAGCCCACAAGGUGACGGUACCUGCAGAAGAAGCCCCGGCUAACUACGUGCCAGCAGCCGCGGUAAGACGUAGGGGGCGAGCGUUGUCCGGAUUCAUUGGGCGUAAAGCGCGCGCAGGCGGCCCGGAAAGUCGGAUGUGAAAACCAGAGGCUCAACCUCUGGCGUGCAUUCGAUACUCCCGGGCUAGAGGCAGGUAGGGGAGAUCGGAAUUCCUGGUGUAGCGGUGAAAUGCGCAGAUAUCAGGAGGAACACCGGUGGCGAAGGCGGAUCUCUGGGCCUGUCCUGACGCUCAGGCGCGAAAGCUAGGGGAGCAAACAG